UCUCCGUUGGUGAACCAGCGGAGGGAUCAUUAAAAAUAGGGCACUUAUGCGCUAUACACCACUGUCAACAUACCCUGUCUCGUUGCCUCGGCGGGCGGCUCCCGGGGGAGCCCUCCCGGCCAUCGCGGUGCUCGCCGGAGGUCACCAAACUCUUGAUAAUUUAUGGCCUCUCUGAGUCUUCUGUACUGAAUAAGUCAAAACUUUCAACAACGGAUCUCUUGGUUCUG
rnacentral:misc_RNA from 1 species